UCUCGAUUAGCUCAGUUGGCUAGAGCGCACGGCUGUUAACCGUGAGGUCACUGGUUCGAGCCCAGUAUCGAGAG
rfam:Coccomyxa subellipsoidea C-169, whole genome shotgun sequence.